UAGGGAAUCUUCGGCAAUGGACGAAAGUCUGACCGAGCAACGCCGCGUGAGUGAAGAAGGUUUUCGGAUCGUAAAACUCUUUUGUUAGAGAAGAACAAGGACGUUAGUAACUGAACGUCCCCUGACGGUAUCUAACCAGAAAGCCACGGCUAACUACGUGCCAGCAGCCGCGGUAAUACGUAGGUGGCAAGCGUUGUCCGGAUUUAUUGGGCGUAAAGCGAGCGCAGGCGGUUUCUUAAGUCUGAUGUGAAAGCCCCCGGCUCAACCGGGGAGGGUCAGUGGAAACUGGGAGAGUUGAGUGCAGAAGAGGAGAGUGGAAUUCCAGGUGUAGCGGUGAAAUGCGUAGAUAUAUGGAGGAACACCAGUGGCGAAGGCGGCUCUCUGGUCUGUAACUGACGCUGAGGCUAGAAAGCGUGGGGAGCAAACAGG
rnacentral:rRNA from 1 species